CCUCCUUAUACGAUUUAGAACUUAUUUGUUCGUAGUGUCCACACAGAUGAUUGUUAGUUAGUUUUACCCUCUGGGUUAACUAAUUAAUAUGCUCUUUAAAAAUUUGGAAAAGCUGAUAAUAAAAUUCGUAUGAAUAACAUUGUUAUUUGUACAGAGUUUUCAAAAGUAAAAAAGAAUGAUAGCAGUAUCAUUCAGUGCCAAUUUAAUCCUCGGAUUAAUUGGUAUCUACUUUAGUAUUCAAUAUUUAACUUCUGGCGAAGUUAAACUGUCACGAAACAAAGACCCGUUUGGGUUGUAUGGUUAAGUGACUAAGCGUACACGGGUGGAUGCCUUGGCAAAGGGG
rnacentral:misc_RNA from 1 species